UACGGGGGGUGCGAGCGUUGUCCGGAAUCACUGGGCGUAAAGGGCGCGUAGGCGGUCCGGUAAGCGCGUGGUGAAAGCCCGGGGCUCAACCCCGGGUCGGCCGUGCGGACUGCGGGACUGGAGCACUGUAGAGGCGGGCGGAAUUCCGGGUGUAGCGGUGGAAUGCGUAGAGAUCCGGAAGAACACCGGUGGCGAAGGCGGCCCGCUGGGCAGGAUGCUGACGCUGAGGCGCGACAGCGUGGGGAGCAAACGAGG
rnacentral:rRNA from 1 species